rnacentral:tRNA from 1 species
GGUGGCUCAGUGAUAGAGUGUUUGCCUUGCAUGCAUGAGGCCCUGGGUUCGAUUCCCCAGUACCA